UACGUAGGGUGCAAGCGUUGUCCGGAAUUAUUGGGCGUAAAGAGCUCGUAGGCGGUUUGUCGCGUCUGCUGUGAAAACUCAGGGCUUAACCCUGAGCCUGCAGUGGGUACGGGCAGACUAGAGUGUGGUAGGGGAGAUCGGAAUUCCUGGUGUAGCGGUGAAAUGCGCAGAUAUCGGGAGGAACACCCGUAGCGAAGGCGGCACUCUGGGCCGGUACUGACGCUGAGGAGCGAAAGCGUGGGGAGCAAACAGG
rnacentral:rRNA from 1 species